AGGAUGAACGCUGGCGGUGUGCCUAAUACAUGCAAGUCGAACGGGAUCUUCGGAUCUAGUGGCGAACGGGUGAGUAACACGUUGGUACCUACCCCGAAGUGGGGAAUAACUGCCCGAAAGGAUGGCUAAUACCGCAUAAUACCGCAAGGUUAAAGCAGUAAUGCGCUUCGGGAGGGGCCUGCGUCCCAUUAGCUAGUUGGUAGGGUAAUGGCCUACCAAGGCGACGAUGGGUAGCUGGAUCGAGAGGUUGACCAGCCACACUGGGACUGAGAUACGGCCCAGACUCCUACGGGAGGCAGCAGUAAGGAAUCUUCCACAAUGGACGAAAGUCUGAUGGAGCAACACCGCGUGCAGGAUGACGGCCUUCGGGUUGUAAACUGCUUUUAUAUGGAAGAUUAUGACGGUACCAUAUGAAUAAGGACCGGCUAACUACGUGCCAGCAGCCGC
rnacentral:rRNA from 1 species